rnacentral:lncRNA from 1 species
CCAGGCUCAUUUUUACAUUUAAACAAACAUGAAUUGCAAGACUAAUCUACCUUACUAAAAGUAAAAUGAGAUAUAAUAUAGUUCAACAGUCCAUAGUAAUUACAAUGUGAAGAUUCAGCUAAUCAAUGAAACUAAUUGAGCUACACUAAACCAAAUAAACAAAGAGGAAAUUAUCAUGGUCUUUAUUUCACCCCAAAGUGAGAGCUACAUCAUAGAAGAGGCUAAGAUUGAUACCUGGAUGUAGGAAAAACAAAGUAAAAAAAUAGGAGGUCAGCUUAAACAGCAGUAGUAUGACAAAAUUAGCCCCAGCAAAAGUCAAACAGAUCCAAUCCAAACUCAAGAAGAAGAUGCAGUAAUCCAAAUAAUGAAGUUCAAUCGAAUAAAUCCAUCAACAACGUUUUCAAAGCCAAUUGUAUACACUCCAAGUGUAACACAUUCUAAACCCUCUGAUGAAUUAGACAGUGGUUCAGCUUGAAGGCUUCAGAAUUCAGAAUUCAAAGAAAAGGAAAAGAAUUCAACGGAACAGUAAAACUACAGUUGUUCCUCAAUUUUUUGUAUUUUUUAAGCUCUUCUAAAAUCUGAUCUCUUUUCUAAAAAAAACAUUCUUUCUAAAGCAAGGAAGUGAUGUCUUUAUAUGCAAGUAAGUAGGGUAAGCUUCAGAUUUUACUUUUCACUUUUUAGCCCUUUUUGAUUUUUGUUUUUGCUUAAGAGGUCCUUGAAUUAUUGACUUGUGGCUCAAGUUAAUACCCUAUGUCGCUUCUAGGAAGUUUCCUAAGCUGUUACACCUAAGAUUCCUUUAAACAAAUACCUAAACUACCCCUCAUUACCCUGUAUUUGCCCUAAAAACAUCCGGGUCAACUAGUCAAGCUAAAAUGGGUUAUAGACCCUAAAUGGGCUCAAAGUCUUAAUGGGCAUGACCUAAUGACACAAAUGAGCCCCUGGAAUGACUUCAAAACCCAAGCAUCAACAAAAAUGAGACUGAUCCAAACAACAAACAACAAAGGAUAGUAUUAGUAGUUUCGAGUAUUAGACCUACACUAAUUGAAAUAUCAUUAAACAAAAGCAAACAAGGAAUUGACCAAAUUAUCAAACUAGGCAACUAAAAGAGCGAUCAGAAUUGUAAUUAAGCUAAUGACCAAAUUUAUCAGACCAAGAACGUUAGGGAUCAAUUUCUAAUAUUAAAACAAAAUUCAUUUAAAACUUAAUCAGGCUGGUCAAAAUUGAUUAAAAAAAAAAAGAAGACAGCACAAACAACCAAAAAGAAAGAAAGACAAUAGAAAGAAAAGAAUGAAUACAAGGGACUUACCAAAAGAGUCUGAGAGUUCAAAGAUGAACGAUUCAACAAACCAGUGUCGACCAUUUGUUCUUUGUAAAAAACAAAUGAGAGACAACAACCCGUUGACUCGAAAAUUCACAUCUUGCAAAGACAAGGGAAACUCUAGACCAUGCACGCCGUCAAAUUCCAUGAAAGUCAAUUUUGUAUUUCAGGGCUUCGAACUCAUAUGUGAUAUUCGAAGAGUUCUAAAUAUAUUCGAGAGUAGGGAGGGUGAGAUUAUGGAAGAGGAGACCAUGGGAAUGCUGUGGUGUUAAUUUGGUGGUGUUUGGGUGGUGGUGCCACAGGCCACGGCAGAGGGUUCAGAACUUCUGAGCAAUAUUCGAGAAGCUUAGGCGGGAUUCGAGGGACGGGGUUUGGAUAUUUGGAAAGAGGAGGAGGGAAUCUGGGGUGUGAAUUUGGUUGUGAUUGGCCACCGGCGCCGGUGGAGACGAUUUCCAUUGGGGGCAGGCAGCGGAGACGGGUUGAUCUCUAAGGUUUGGCUGUUUUGUU